rnacentral:rRNA from 1 species
UGAGGAAUAUUGGUCAAUGGACGAGAGUCUGAACCAGCCAAGUAGCGUGCAGGAAGACGGCCCUAUGGGUUGUAAACUGCUUUUAUAAGGGAAAUAAAGUGAGUCUCGUGAGACUUUUUGCAUGUACCUUAUGAAUAAGCCCCGGCUAACUACGUGCC